AACGAACGCUGGCGGCGUGGAUAAGACAUGCAAGUCGAACGAGAGAAUUGCUAGCUUGCUAAUAAUUCUCUAGUGGCGCACGGGUGAGUAACACGUGAGUAACCUGCCCCCGAGAGCGGGAUAGCCCUGGGAAACUGGGAUUAAUACCGCAUAGUAUCGAAAGAUUAAAGCAGCAAUGCGCUUGGGGAUGGGCUCGCGGCCUAUUAGUUAGUUGGUGAGGUAACGGCUCACCAAGGCGAUGACGGGUAGCCGGUCUGAGAGGAUGUCCGGCCACACUGGAACUGAGACACGGUCCAGACACCUACGGGUGGCAGCAGUCGAGAAUCAUUCACAAUGGGGGAAACCCUGAUGGUGCGACGCCGCGUGGGGGAAUGAAGGUCUUCGGAUUGUAAACCCCUGUCAUGUGGGAGCAAAUUAAAAAGAUAGUACCACAAGAGGAAGAGACGGCUAACUCUGUGCCAGCAGCCGCGGUAAUACAGAGGUCUCAAGCGUUGUUCGGAAUCACUGGGCGUAAAGCGUGCGUA
rnacentral:rRNA from 1 species